rnacentral:sRNA from 1 species
AAUUAAGAACAAACAAAUGAAAUAGAAAUAUAUAUUACUCGUAUUUCUCCUUCUUGAAUUUGAUGAAGCCCUGCUUAAUGGUUUCGACGGGGUCGAAAGCUUUCUUGUCGGAUGAAGUACCUGUCUGAAGAGCCGCUGUGAUCUGCUCCACCUUUGCCGCUGCAACCGUCUUUAGCUCUUCCUUCUCG